rnacentral:rRNA from 1 species
AGUGAACGCUGGCGGUAGGCCUAACACAUGCAAGUCGAACGGCAGCACAGUAAGAGCUUGCUCUUACGGGUGGCGAGUGGCGGACGGGUGAGGAAUACAUCGGAAUCUACUUUUUCGUGGGGGAUAACGUAGGGAAACUUACGCUAAUACCGCAUACGACCUACGGGUGAAAUCAGGGGAUCUUCGGACCUUGCGCGGUUGAAUGAGCCGAUGUCGGAUUAGCUAGUUGGCGGGGUAAAGGCCCACCAAGGCGACGAUCCGUAGCUGGUCUGAGAGGAUGAUCAGCCACACUGGAACUGAGACACGGUCCAGACUCCUACGGGAGGCAGCAGUGGGGAAUAUUGGACAAUGGGCGAAAGCCUGAUCCAGCCAUACCGCGUGGGUGAAGAAGGCCUUCGGGUUGUAAAGCCCUUUUGUUGGGAAAGAAAAGCAGCAGGUUAAUACCCCGCUGUUCUGACGGUACCCAAAGAAUAAGCACCGGCUAACUUCGUG